UACGAAGGGGGCUAGCGUUGCUCGGAAUCACUGGGCGUAAAGGGUGCGUAGGCGGGUCUUUAAGUCAGGGGUGAAAUCCUGGAGCUCAACUCCAGAACUGCCUUUGAUACUGAGGAUCUUGAGUACGGGAGAGGUGAGUGGAACUGCGAGUGUAGAGGUGAAAUUCGUAGAUAUUCGCAAGAACACCAGUGGCGAAGGCGGCUCACUGGCCCGUAAUUGACGCUGAGGCGCGAAAGCGUGGGGAGCAAACAGGAU
rnacentral:rRNA from 1 species